UACGUAGGGUGCAAGCGUUGUCCGGAAUUAUUGGGCGUAAAGAGCUUGUAGGCGGUUUGUCGCGUCUGCUGUGAAAUUUCGGGGCUCAACCCCGAACUUGCAGUGGGUACGGGCAGACUAGAGUGUGGUAGGGGAGACUGGAAUUCCUGGUGUAGCGGUGAAAUGCGCAGAUAUCAGGAGGAACACCGAUGGCGAAGGCAGGUCUCUGGGCCAACACUGACGCUCAUGCACGAAAGCGUGGGGAGCAAACAGG
rnacentral:rRNA from 1 species